rnacentral:rRNA from 1 species
UACGUAGGGGGCAAGCGUUGUCCGGAUUUACUGGGCGUAAAGAGCGCGUAGGCGGAAGGUGAAGCGUGGCCUGAAAGCCCCCGGCUCAACCGGGGAAGGCGGCUGCGAACUGGCCUUCUUGAGGGCGAUAGAGGGGGGCGGAAUUCCUGGUGUAGCGGUGAAAUGCGUAGAGAUCAGGGGGAACACCCGUGGCGAAGGCGGCCCCCUGGGUCGGCCCUGACGCUGAGGCGCGAAAGCGUGGGGAGCGAACGGG